GCUGGACAGUUAAUGUCACCAAAACAAUUCAUGCAAAAUUGGGUGAUAAUGUGACCAUACAAUGUACGUUUACAUAUCCGAAAAAGAACCACACAAAAGAGCCUGAGCUUUACUGGAAAUUGCGUAGGGAAAGUAACAAAAAAACCUAUGACACGAAGAACGAUUCCAUAUACCUUUAUCACCCAAAUGAAAUACAUGUGGAAGAGAAGUACAGAGGAAGGACCAAGCUCAUCGGAAACAGCAGUAAUGGAAACUGUUCCCUCAAGAUCUUCAACAUCACGGAUAAUGAGCCAAAUAUCUAUUUGAGAAUUGUUGCACGUGACAACUAUAGUUUCUCAAAGACCCCUGUCUCCAUUUAUGUGUCCGGUGCUACACCAUUCACCAUUAACCCAGCAAUCUUCACGGAGACCACACCCCAGCCGCCUUCAGGACCAAUGUAUGCCGCCAUCUUUGUAUCAGCUGCUGCAGCUCUGAUCAUUAUUUUUGUCAUUGGAUUUUUUUUAUUCAGACACAAAAGGUGACUUCCCUUUAAGAUCAACCAGCAUUUAUUUCUACUGGAUGUAUGAUUUGCUUGUGUUACAUACAGACAUGUUGAAUUUGAUAAAUAUCUUUAAGGCAGACAUACUAUGCUAGAACAAGGCCACGAUAAACUGUCAUGCUCUAUAUUACAACUUAAUGCUGAUUAGGGUAGACUUAUUGUUUAAUUAAGGUUAAUUAGGGAAUUAUGUUAUUACACUGUACUUACAAAAUAUAAACAGGGGUCGUUAUAAGAAAAUUUGAUUACCACUCCUCAUCUCUGCCUUGGCUUCCAGUUAGUUUUAGAAUUGAAUUUGGAAUAGAAAUGUUAUUCAUUGUCUACAGUCCUGUAUGACUUUGCUGCAAUGACGUGCUUUAAAAAAUGGGCCUCUCAGAGCUAAUAGGUAAUCUGGUCCAGAGAGCCAUCUAGUGGCUCCAAGGUUGACUCAAAAUUUGUAAACCAGCUUUUGGUUUGAUGUUUGUAGCUGCUGGAAUACUUUGCUUGACAUCAGAUGUGUACAAAUAUGGACAUUUAAGUCAAAGACAACCUACCUGAUCAUUCCUUUUCCCCUGCAGCAUUAGAUUCACUUUUAUUGUUUCCAUUUUUAAACAGUAUUUAAUUGUUUGAAUUGCUUCUUUAAACCGCAUGGCCAGAUUAACCUGUUAGGGGGCCUUGGGGCAACAAUUUGCUGAUGGGUCCCUUUUAACACCCCACAUACCACUCUGUGCAUUGUGUAUAUUUGUACCAGAAUGCUACUAUUAGCAUGGCCACAGCUUUUCUAUGUAUUAGUUAAUUUGCUGUAAUUUGAUUAAGUUCAACUUUAUUUAGGAAUAUGCACCGUGUGAGCGCAAUAUAACCUAAAAUAAUAAAGGUAUUAAAACUGUAUUUUGACUCAGGGCCCUUCUACAAGACAGGGGCAAAACAUUAGCUGAUAAUGCAGGACCUAUCUUAGUUGAAUUGUACUCAAGUGGUGCAAAUUUACUAACCAAUAUGGAGUUAUCAACAUAGACUGACGUGUGCUUGAGGUCAGGGAAGUUGCCCACUUUGCCCAGUUGUUUGCGCAUGUAUGAAUGUUCUUUGUAUUUCUCUCAGAAUGAAAUGUGGCAAUAAAUAAAGUUAUCCUGCUCACCUUUGCUGAUAGAGAAACACAGGAAAUGCAGGAAUAGCAGAUUGAAAAGCUUUUAAAUGAUCUCAUAAAUGAAUUGCGGUGUACAAGUACAAAAAAUAUUACAUGAGGAAAAUAAAGUAUCAAAAGCAGGCAACUGGAUUAAUUUAUUUAGUGGCCAAGCAGUUUAUGGCCUUUAGAUAACAUGGUAGAAGGUGACAACCUUUUCACUUUCUUGUUCUCUGUUGCUGUGAAUGGAUGCAUAUAACAUUUUUCAGUCCUGAUACUACUUUUCUUUUCUUUAUCACAUCUAUUCAAUGUCUGUGCGUACUGGAAGAGGAAUCCCUGCUGCGUUCUGAGAACAGAUGUAUAAUGUCUUAUGUGGUUCUGGAAGCAGCUGUCUAAAGAUAAAAAUCACUGGAGAAUUAUGGCACUUGAUCA